CCUACGGGAGGCAGCAGUGAGGAAUAUUGGUCAAUGGACGGAAGUCUGAACCAGCCACGCCGCGUGCAGGAAGACGGCUCUAUAAGUUGUAAACUGCUUUUGUACAAGGGUAAACCUGAAUACGUGUAUUCAGCUGAAAGUACUGUACGAAUAAGGAUCGGCUAACUCCGUGCCAGCAGCCGCGGUAAUACGGAGGAUCAAAGCGUUAUCCGGAUUUAUUGGGUUUAAAGGGUGCGUAGGCGGAUUGAUAAGUUAGAGGUGAAAUGUCCGGGCUUAACUCGGGAACUGCCUCUAAUACUGUUGGUCUAGAGCGUAGAUGCGGUAGGCGGAAUGUAUGGUGUAGCGGUGAAAUGCUUAGAGAUCAUACAGAACACCGAUUGCGAAGGCAGCUUACCAAUCUAUAUCUGACGUUGAGGCACGAAAGCGUGGGGAGCAAACAGGAUUAGAUACCCCAGUAGUC
rnacentral:rRNA from 1 species